rnacentral:misc_RNA from 1 species
AUGGAAUGAUUUAGUCUUCAAAUAUAUCUGUAUUUCAGUUGUUAAGGAUUGACUAUGUCAGUAUAAUGAGGGCGUUAAAAGUAAGGAUACUAAAAUUGGGUAUUUUAAAUAGUGAUUAAUGUAAUCCCUUUUUUCUAAAGGGGAAGGAGUGUUAGGUAGCAAGUUCAAUUUAUUUAGUUUUGGAUUUGUUAACCGUUCAUAUAUUAUUCAUUCUCUCGUUUCGUUAAGCUGUGAAUAUUUAGUUUUACAUUUAAACGCUAACUCACGAUCUAGUUAUUCACAUCAAUUUUAAGUAUCAGACUAACAACAGUUUUCCAUAAAGGUGACUUGUAAAUGUUAAUAUUCUUAAAGAGUAUGUAAAUUAUCACAUGAUUUUAAAUGUCUUGGUCUAACUAGUUAAUUAUUGCAGUUUAGCUUGUCUUUGAACUCGAAGAGGUCCCGUAACCUGAGCUGGAAGGUAGAGAAGGUGAAGAUAGAACAUGAACGAAUUUUCUUUGUAAGACACCAAAAGAAAUGGUCAUCGUCCUAUGCCGUUCCAGAAAAUUUAAAUGGCACAAGAAGGCUUUUAGAUUGCGGCUUCCCUUCCAUCAAAAUAAAGGACUUAUUCUAGUGUGUCCACUUCUCAUCCUUCGACGUAACGUGCUGACGAGUCACUUGUGUCCUCUGCCUAACGUAAGUGGUCUUUGAACUCGAACACUUCCUGUAAAGUGAACUAGAGCAGGAAAGGAGAGAAGAUGAAGAUUCACGAACAUGAAUAAAUUCUUUUUGUAAGGUGUCUGUACUGAAACUGUAAAGGAUUCUCGGUGUCGGUAUAAUGAGGCCGUUAAAAGUAAGAAUACGAAAAUUGGGAAUUUAGGAGUGAUUAAUGUAAUCACUUCGGUUUUUCGAAAGGAGUGUGAGGUAGCAAACUAUUUUAUUUUGUUAUGGUUUUGUUUAGUUAACUUAUUCUUUCUAUCGUUUAGUUUAUCUGUCAAUUUUUAGUUUACACUUAAACGCUAACUCACUUCAUAGCUAAUCCCAUUUAACUUUUAGAUUUUAAGAGUUAUCAGACUGACACCAGUUUCCCAUAUCGGUGACGUACAGAUAUUUAACAUUGGUAAAUAGUAUGUAAAUAAUGAUUGCAUGAAUUAAUCUGUUGUUCUAACUAGUUACUUAAUUAUUGCAGCUCAGUUUUCUUUGGACUCGAGGAUUUUCCGUAACCUGAGCCGGAAGGUAGACAAUGUGAAGAAGGAAGAAUAUGAACGAAUUUUCUUUGUAAGGUAUAUGUACUUAAACUGGGCAGGAUUCAUGAUGUCAGUAUAACGAGGUCUUUAAAAGUAAGGAUACGCAAAUUGGGAAUUUAGUGAUUAAUGUAAUCACUUUUUUCGAAAGA